GCGAAGAAAAACUUUGUUGUUGGUUGUUAAGAAAUUUAUACAAAACCAUAAUAUCAACAGUAUUUUUACAGAUUUUUCAACCCUGUCCUGCUUAUCACACCAAUACAGCGUGGAAACAAAGGGUCAAAUGUGUAUACAAUUAGUAGAAAAU